AUUGAACGCUGGCGGCAUGCCUUAGACAUGCAAGUCGAACGAUUAAGACUUCCUUCGGGAAGUGUAUAAAGUGGCGCACGGGUGAGUAACACGUAAGUAAUCUACCUUCGAGUGGGGAAUAACAUCGGGAAACCGAUGCUAAUACCGCAUAAUGCAGCGGCAUCGCAAGAUGACAGUUGUUAAAGGAGCAAUUCGCUUGAAGAGGAGCUUGCGGCAGAUUAGCUAGUUGGUAAGGUAAUGGCUUACCAAGGCUACGAUCUGUAUCCGGUCUAAGAGGACGGUCGGACACACUGACACUGAAUAACGGGUCAGACUCCUACGGGAGGCAGCAGUCGGGAAUUUUGGGCAAUGGGCGAAAGCCUGACCCAGCAACGCCGCGUGAGGGAUGAAGUAUUUCGGUAUGUAAACCUCGAAAGAAAGGGAAGAAUAAAUGACGGUACCAUUUAUAAGCUCCGGCUAACUACGUGCCAGCAGCCGCGGUAAAAC
rnacentral:rRNA from 1 species